rnacentral:rRNA from 1 species
GGUAGCAGCCUUAGCAGCUUUCAGCCUGAUUCAUCAGAUCUCAGAAGCUCACAAAGGCCAGGACCUGGUCACUACUGGCAUGAGAGAUCUCUUAAGAAACACCAGGCUCCUGCUGCAC